CACUCGCUCGGUUGCGACUGGAAGGGCGUCAAGUCCGGCUCCUCCGAGUACGGCACCGUCGCCGCCUGCUUCAGCUCCCAGUCCAACAAGCUCAUCAACUCGGGAGAGGGUGGCUU
rnacentral:ribozyme from 1 species